rnacentral:RNase_MRP_RNA from 2 species
UGACCGCGGGGCGACGUGAGCGGGUUGGGUCAUUCCGUUACGGUUUGGCCAGGCCCAGGAAAGUCCCCGGGCCGCUACUGCAGAGAUGCAGGCUCGGAAACGAGUUCGCUUCACGGGCUGGGUUCUAUCUCCUUGCGGGAUGGGCUGAGACGAGUGUGGAGCCUAAUGGACUCUAGCCGGAAGCGCCUUGGCCAGUAGACAGUUAUUCACGUGGUCCAUCUGGACUAACUGAACGGGGCUUACGACCCUGCGGUC